CAGAAAAAUAACAAUGGCAGG
rnacentral:piRNA from 1 species